AGACCCGAAACCCGGUGAUCUAGCCAUGGGCAGGUUGAAGGUUGGGUAACACUAACUGGAGGACCGAACCGACUAAUGUUGAAAAAUUAGCGGAUGACCUGUGGCUGGGGGUGAAAGGCCAAUCAAACCGGGAGAUAGCUGGUUCUCCCCGAAAGCUAUUUAGGUAGCGCCUCGUGAAUUCAUCUCCGGGGGUAGAGCACUGUUUCGGCUAGGGGGCCAUCCCGGCUUACCAACCCGAUGCAAACUGCGAAUACCGGAGAAUGUUAUCACGGGAGACACACGGCGGGUGCUAACGUCCGUCGUGAAGAGGGAAACAACCCAGACCGCCAGCUAAGGUCCCAAAGUCAUGGUUAAGUGGGAAACGAUGUGGGAAGGCCCAGACAGCCAGGAUGUUGGCUUAGAAGCAGCCAUCAUUUAAAGAAAGCGUAAUAGCUCACUGGUCGAGUCGGCCUGCGCGGAAGAUGUAACGGGGCUAAACCAUGCACCGAAGCUGCGGCAGCGACGCUUAUGCGUUGUUGGGUAGGGGAGCGUUCUGUAAGCCUGUGAAGGUGGCCUGUGAGGGUGGCUGGAGGUAUCAGAAGUGCGAAUGCUGACAUAAGUAACGAUAAAGCGGGUGAAAAGCCCGCUCGCCGGAAGACCAAGGGUUCCUGUCCAACGUUAAUCGGGGCAGGGUGAGUCGACCCCUAAGGCGAGGCCGAAAGGCGUAGUCGAUGGGAAACGGGUUAAUAUUCCCGUACUUGGUGUUACUGCGAAGGGGGGACGGAGAAGGCUAUGUUGGCCGGGCGACGGUU
rnacentral:rRNA from 1 species